rnacentral:lncRNA from 1 species
GUAAGAUCCCAGCUAUUUUUGGGUAUUUUUAUGGUUUAAUUAUAAUAUAAAAGUAGAAAUUAAAUUGAUAAUUGAUAUAGAAAUUGGGGGAAGAAAUUAGAGAGGAAGAAAACUUGGGGAAGAAGAAGAAUACAGAGAUGAGAGAUAAAUUCUGAAAAUUGGCUUAAUGCCUUUCAUUCAACUCGUCCAACCCUUAUAACAAAAAUCUCAAAUAAUAAUUAAAAUCUGAAAAUAACAAUUAAGAUAUUUAAUUAUUUUUUUCCAAUCUCCAAUUGCACUUGGUCCCGACUCAUUAAUAAAUUUCGGCCCACUUGCUUUCGGCCCAGCUGCAAAACUCAAUCCCACUUCACUUCCAAAAUUAUUGCCGUUCUUCAACUCACCACCGUCGCCACCGCUGUUGCCGCCGCCGUCACCAUCAUGGGUCAUGACA